CACCCCCACCUCCUCCACCCUGAGCACAAACACGAGGCUCAUGGGAUCAUAAGCAGACCAACAUACACGUCCGUGCAGAUAUGCGUUAUUUAUUAUUAUAAUACGGGUAGAUGAAAUCCAGCGUUCUGAUUGGUUGAGAGUGAGUCACGGGGUGUGUAUUAUUCGGUCAUAAUGUACGGUUGCUGUUGACAUUGACCCAAAAUCCCACAAAUGAUCGGUUUCGUGCAGCUGUCGCAACCCGGACAGUUAAGGUGGACGUCAUGAGCGAUGUGGAUGAAUGAGAUGGUCCGAGACCCGAUGCUGUUUACGUGCACGUACGGGGACUAUUUUUUUCUAGACUACUGAAAUGAGAUACACAACGUUUGGUGGCUGUUUACGUACUACUCGUAAUUUCACUGGUAACCGUGUUAUAAAAGCAAUGAGGUACUUGAAAUUUUAAUAUUUAAAAUUUUUAACUUUAUUCCUUGUUUUAUACUAACCCAUAGCCUUAUUCUACUAACCCAUUGCAUUAGGAUUUCAUUUUACUUCAUUUUAUUACUUGUGCACUGUUGUCUUGUCUUGUCUACUGUCGCGCACUAACCGCCAAGACAAAUUCCUUGUAUGUUUGGCAUAUUUUGGUAAUAAAUGUUUCCUGAUACCUGAUCCUGAUUCCUGAUUGAGGCGGUACUUUAUCUUCAGUAAUAUAACAACACCCCAAACUGUUACAUUAUUGGACGAUAAAGUAGAGCCUCUCGUACCUUAUUGUUUAAAUAUUAGCAGCAACCACUCUUGGAGAUAAGAAAUCCAAACAGGUUUUCCCAGAAGGGUAACGGCUUCACACAGAACCAUUUGACUGAAGAACCCUUUGGAACAAAGAGUUGUCCAAGGAUUGUGAUGAAACCUUGGAAUCCAAACGGGUUCUAGGUGGAACCCAAUGGGAUUGAGGUGAAACCCAUAGAAUAUAAAAGGGUUCUCCAUGGACGGGUUUCUAGAUGAAACCAUUGGACUAUAGUCAUCAGUAGAACAGCCCCACCGGUGCUUUCUUAUUAGCGGCCAUGCAUGAUGGAAAGUUUUUGGAUGGAACCUGAAGAGACGGUUCAUGGCAGAACCUUUUUGGACGGAACGGUUCUAAAGGGUUCCAGGUGGCACAUUUGUAAAAGGUAUAAGCGUCCAAGAAAAGGAUCUCCUAAGAAAACAACCAGAACGCUACAUUUCUCUAGUAGCCCCCUCGUGUUAAGUUCCUCCUUCGUGUGCUUGUCGGACCGCCAAACAUUUCAACGUAGUCUUCGGUCGACCCGUCCCCCCCCCCCCGUCCCGUCUCUUUCGGGGCGUUUCAGGGGCCCAGCGCCUGCACGGGGGGCUUUGUGGCUGACUUGCUGGCUGGUUGAGUGUGACUGGUUGGCUUAGCGUCAGCUGUUGGCCCAGCCAGGCUCAGCUCAGAUUGCUCCAGAUUAGGAGAUGGGGCACUCUGAGAGCAACUAUGAUCCAUAUUAAAGCUGCAUAAAAUGAAAAUUGCAAAGAUUUAGAGGCGGAUCAUAGGCCACAGAGAAUUUAAUCACAACCUGGCAGUGUGUGUGUGUGUGUUUACGUGUGUGCGUGUGUGCGCAACACUCUGCAUAAUGCAGAUCGCAUAGUGACACGAGGAUUAUCGAUGGAGCCUGUAUUUACUUAUCAGCGCAGUGUUACGAGGUGUAUCACAAAUGUUUUAUUAGAGCUGCAGCUCCUUCCCUGUCGCGGCUACACGAGAGCGUGACGAUGCACCACAACUGUGGAGGUGAUGAAAAAAAAACAACAACUAAUGGACAUGCAGUUGUGUUUCGAGUGUGCGCGUGUGUGUGUAUGAUACUGUUCCAGUGUCCUCAACGCUUGUAAUCCCUCUAAAGCUUAAAUACUGUUACUGUGUAUUUAAGGGGUAGUCUAGUAAUAGAUAGUUCUACAGAGGGGCUACAUUUUUGGCUGUAAUAUUUAAUUUAUAAACUAAAGUUUCUUCAACAUAAUAAUACACAUUUGCAGAGCGAUAACUUCAAAACUAUUAAUUAAAUGUUUAAUUUCAUACCGAACGAGUGACUAUAAUUCACUAUGUGAGACUCGACUUUGGCAUUUGGGGGAUGAUGAACAUUUUUAAUAACAAUACAGUUGGCUGACGGAUUGGUAUUAAAUAUAAAGUUUAUAGGACACUUGUCCUUCACUUGAGUAUUUUAAAUUUUAUAUUUGUCAAAAGACUUUUUUCCACUACAUUAACGUUUAAUUUCAUUCAACUGACUGCAUAAUUUUGAAGAAAAAAAAAAGAAUAAAUGUGGCGUAGAGAUGAAACCACGCCCACGUCUGUGUGAGAAACAUACCAGAAAGAGUCUGAUGACAACUACUACGUCUGCUUUCCUCCAGGGCAAAGUAUCUCGCUGCCUCUCUGCUCAUUUUCUAUUAUCAGUGUAACGUUAGCGUGAAAAACACGGUGGAGUUAACACAAGAAUGUAUCUACCUCCAGUGGCCACCAGGGGGCGACUCCCCUGCUCCCAUAGAAGUCUACUAGAAAAACUCUACUUCUCUCUUAAGUUAUUCUCUCAGUAAACAGCCUAUGGUCUUAAUCUGUACAUGGCACCAACCCCCCCCCCCUCAACAUAGUGACGGUGAAAUCGGCAAAUUCAAGGCUUCACAACAUCUUUGCACAAACCAAUGGAACCAACCGACGAACCAAGGUCCACUCAUUGUACGAGGUGGGGUUGAUUGAAAGGCCUUUUAACGAUGUUGUAUUUUUUGGCGUAAUUUAGUUAAAAACGGGCUAAAUUACUCUUUUGGUUUCGAUGGGAAACGUAAAAAUAAACAGCAGCGUUUCAUUGCUGUCAUCAAAAAACUGCUGUACUCUUCAGUUUAUUCUUUAACUUGACAGCUAUAUUUACUUUGCACACUCACACAUACAAACAAAACACGUAAUCGAUUAGUUGAUUAGAUAUGAUGUUGUAGUUUAAGCCGUCAUCCACCACGCUGUAGAAUUGACUCUACAUGCAACUAUUAACCUAAGAUACAUUUUAGCCAUUAAUAACUUGAUGACAGGGGCCAUUCUGCAUAAUGAGAACUUUUACUUUAUUACUCACAAUAAAUCUAUUUAACCCAUAACAUUUUGGCACUUUGACUUGAUUAAGAUAUUAAUGCCUUUUACGUUCCUCAGUGAGGUUUGCAUCGUUCAAUCGUCUCGGUCUCGUGGUACAAAGCGCAGUGCGAUGUGAAUGUUGUUGGUGCGUCUGCAGCCACAGGCUACAUCUGCUUCAGAUACCUGACACAAUGCAUGACUUGUGCCCUAUUUGUGCUCACCUGUAUCUUCGUCUCUGUCACGUCUAUGGCGCCUCCAACGCAAAUGUAACUUCCCUCCCCCGUCGUCUCCCCCCGUCGUCUCCCUCUUUUUCUCCAGGUUUCUUUUUGUUGCAUGUCUCUCUUCUGUGAGCUGCGUCCUCUUUUCUUCCUCCCUCCCUUUUCUUGCAUUCCUAUUUCUAAAUCCCUCUCCAAGAGCACAUUGUGUGUGUGUGUGUGUUUGUGUGUGUGCGUGUCGGCAUGGCUGUCACAAACGCACACAUGUACGCACACACGCACAGAACGCAGACUUAGAUCGAGCAGAUGGUGACCGUAUUCAUUUUUUUUCCCCGACUAACAUUAACCGUUCAUUAUAGACGGCAGACUAAGCCAAUCCCAGAUUCCUCCCCCACAUGCACCAUGCACACACACACACAC
ensembl:lncRNA